rnacentral:sRNA from 1 species
GCUGGGCACGGUGGUGUGCGCCUGUAAUCCCAGAGGCUCAGGAGGCUGAGAUGGGAGGAUCACGAGUUCAAAGCCAGCCUCAGCAACAGUGAGGCACUAAGCAACUCAGUGCAACCCUGUCUCUA